rnacentral:rRNA from 2 species
AGACCCGAAACCCGGUGAUCUAGCCAUGGGCAGGUUGAAGGUUGGGUAACACUAACUGGAGGACCGAACCGACUAAUGUUGAAAAAUUAGCGGAUGACCUGUGGCUGGGGGUGAAAGGCCAAUCAAACCGGGAGAUAGCUGGUUCUCCCCGAAAGCUAUUUAGGUAGCGCCUCGUGAAUUCAUCUCCGGGGGUAGAGCACUGUUUCGGCUAGGGGGCCAUCCCGGCUUACCAACCCGAUGCAAACUGCGAAUACCGGAGAAUGUUAUCACGGGAGACACACGGCGGGUGCUAACGUCCGUCGUGAAGAGGGAAACAACCCAGACCGCCAGCUAAGGUCCCAAAGUCAUGGUUAAGUGGGAAACGAUGUGGGAAGGCCCAGACAGCCAGGAUGUUGGCUUAGAAGCAGCCAUCAUUUAAAGAAAGCGUAAUAGCUCACUGGUCGAGUCGGCCUGCGCGGAAGAUGUAACGGGGCUAAACCAUGCACCGAAGCUGCGGCAGCGACGCUUAUGCGUUGUUGGGUAGGGGAGCGUUCUGUAAGCCUGCGAAGGUGGCCUGUGAGGGUUGCUGGAGGUAUCAGAAGUGCGAAUGCUGACAUAAGUAACGAUAAAGCGGGUGAAAAGCCCGCUCGCCGGAAGACCAAGGGUUCCUGUCCAACGUUAAUCGGGGCAGGGUGAGUCGACCCCUAAGGCGAGGCCGAAAGGCGUAGUCGAUGGGAAACGGGUUAAUAUUCCCGUACUUGGUGUUACUGCGAAGGGGGGACGGAGAAGGCUAUGUUGGCCGGGCGACGGUUGUCCCGGUUUAAGCGUGUAGGUGUGUGUUCCAGGUAAAUCCGGUUCACUUUAACACUGAGGCGUGACGACGAGGCACUACGGUGCUGAAGCAACAAAUGCCCUGCUUCCAGGAAAAGCCUCUAAGCAUCAGGUAACAUCAAAUCGUACCCCAAACCGACACAGGUGGUCAGGUAGAGAAUACCAAGGCGCUUGAGAGAACUCGGGUGAAGGAACUAGGCAAAAUGGUGCCGUAACUUCGGGAGAAGGCACGCUGACACGUAGGUGAAGUGAUUUACUCAUGGAGCUGAAGUCAGUCGAAGAUACCAGCUGGCUGCAACUGUUUAUUAAAAACACAGCACUGUGCAAACACGAAAGUGGACGUAUACGGUGUGACGCCUGCCCGGUGCCGGAAGGUUAAUUGAUGGGGUCAGCGCAAGCGAAGCUCCUGAUCGAAGCCCCGGUAAACGGCGGCCGUAACUAUAACGGUCCUAAGGUAGCGAAAUUCCUUGUCGGGUAAGUUCCGACCUGCACGAAUGGCGUAAUGAUGGCCAGGCUGUCUCCACCCGAGACUCAGUGAAAUUGAACUCGCUGUGAAGAUGCAGUGUACCCGCGGCAAGACGGAAAGACCCCGUGAACCUUUACUAUAGCUUGACACUGAACAUUGAGCCUUGAUGUGUAGGAUAGGUGGGAGGCUUUGAAGCGUGGACGCCAGUCUGCGUGGAGCCGACCUUGAAAUACCACCCUUUAAUGUUUGAUGUUCUAACGUGGACCCGUUACCCGGGUUGCGGACAGUGUCUGGUGGGUAGUUUGACUGGGGCGGUCUCCUCCUAAAGAGUAACGGAGGAGCACGAAGGUUGGCUAAUCCUGGUCGGACAUCAGGAGGUUAGUGCAAUGGCAUAAGCCAGCUUGACUGCGAGCGUGACGGCGCGAGCAGGUGCGAAAGCAGGUCAUAGUGAUCCGGUGGUUCUGAAUGGAAGGGCCAUCGCUCAACGGAUAAAAGGUACUCCGGGGAUAACAGGCUGAUACCGCCCAAGAGUUCAUAUCGACGGCGGUGUUUGGCACCUCGAUGUCGGCUCAUCACAUCCUGGGGCUGAAGUAGGUCCCAAGGGUAUGGCUGUUCGCCAUUUAAAGUGGUACGCGAGCUGGGUUUAGAACGUCGUGAGACAGUUCGGUCCCUAUCUGCCGUGGGCGCUGGAGAACUGAGGGGGGCUGCUCCUAGUACGAGAGGACCGGAGUGGACGCAUCACUGGUGUUCGGGUUGUCAUGCCAAUGGCACUGCCCGGUAGCUAAAUGCGGAAGAGAUAAGUGCUGAAAGCAUCUAAGCACGAAACUUGCCCCGA